AUGCUGGAGGUAUCAGAAGUGCGAAUGCUGACAUAAGUAACGAUAAAGCGGGUGAAAAGCCCGCUCGCCGGAAGACCAAGGGUUCCUGUCCAACGUUAAUCGGGGCAGGGUGAGUCGACCCCUAAGGCGAGGCCGAAAGGCGUAGUCGAUGGGAAACAGGUUAAUAUUCCUGUACUUGGUGUUACUGCGAAGGGGGGACGGAGAAGGCUAUGUUGGCCGGGCGACGGUUGUCCCGGUUUAAGCGUGUAGGCUGGUUUUCCAGGCAAAUCCGGAAAAUCAAGGCUGAGGCGUGAUGACGAGGCACUACGGUGCUGAAGCAACAAAUGCCCUGCUUCCAGGAAAAGCCUCUAAGCAUCAGGUAACAUCAAAUCGUACCCCAAACCGACACAGGUGGUCAGGUAGAGAAUACCAAGGCGCUUGAGAGAACUCGGGUGAAGGAACUAGGCAAAAUGGUGCCGUAACUUCGGGAGAAGGCACGCUGAUAUGUAGGUGAAGUCCCUUGCGGAUGGAGCUGAAAUCAGUCGAAGAUACCAGCUGGCUGCAACUGUUUAUUAAAAACACAGCACUGUGCAAACACGAAAGUGGACGUAUACGGUGUGACGCCUGCCCGGUGCCGGAAGGUUAAUUGAUGGGGUUAGC
rnacentral:rRNA from 1 species